CCUACGGGAGGCAGCAGUGAGGAAUAUUGGUCAAUGGUCGGGAGACUGAACCAGCCAAGCCGCGUGAGGGAUGAAGGUACAGAGUAUCGUAAACCUCUUUUGUCAGGGAACAAAGGCGGGGACGUGUCCCCGGAUGAGUGUACCUGAAGAAAAAGCAUCGGCUAACUCCGUGCCAGCAGCCGCGGUAAUACGGAGGAUGCGAGCGUUAUCCGGAUUUGUUGGGUUUAAAGGGUGCGCAGGCGGUCUGUUAAGUCAGCGGUCAAAGCCCGGGGCUCAACCCCGGCCCGCCGUUGAAACUGGCAGUCUCGAGUUGGAGAGAAGUAUGCGGAAUGCGCGGUGUAGCGGUGAAAUGCAUAGAUAUCGCGCAGAACUCCGAUUGCGAAGGCAGCAUGCCGGCUCCACACUGACGCUGAGGCACGAAAGCGUGGGUAUCGAACAGGAUUAGAUACCCCUGUAGUC
rnacentral:rRNA from 1 species